rnacentral:pre_miRNA from 1 species
AUACAAAUCAUCUGGGGAUCUUGUUAAAAUAAGGCUCUGAUAUAGCAGGUGACACCUGAAGUCCUGCAUUGCUAAUAAGCUCCCCAGUGAUGAUGAU